UAAAACGGCCCCAGGGCUGAGCCUAAACAGUGGAAAUGAGGGAGACCGAAGACAGACUGCCCUUUGCGAGUGCGACCCCCGUGCACCACGGAAAGCCAAGAUUUCCAAGUUCUGGGACAAUUCCACAUGAAGGAUAAAAGAAACGCUGAAAUCUGCUCCGAAGGCUUCAGCUCGUGGACAGCUUGUGAAUUGUGCUCCCCUCGGUCUCUGCACAUCCCCAACAUGGACUUUCUGAGCUCGCAGUGGGCACUUACCCUUGUGAUGUACAUGCUGCUUGGCAACUACGGAGUGCGAAAGCUGCUGCCUGUGACCCAGGAUGGAUCAGCACACGCAGGCUGACACCUGGCACCUCUCCUCUGCAGCACAGCCAAGCCUGCACAGGAUUUACAACCGACUCCAGCUGCAGGAAGUCCCACAGGGCCAAGUGGCCCCCAAAAGUGCUCCGUGUCCCUGUGGUGCAGCCAGACGUACUGACGGGAUGGGACAGCUGGGGCUGGGAGAACCUUGGCCCAGGUUUGGGUUUCUGUUCCUUUCUUCACCAUGUGGUUGUGCUCAAGUGUUUAAGAAUUCCUCCAAAGCCUUGAGUUAUUUGCUUCUGAGUGCAAGAAUAUGCCUUUUCUCAAAUAACAUGCACCAUUGUUCAGUUACCACUGCAUUAGUGGUUUUCAUCUUUGGGGCACUCACUUCUUUCGCUGUUUUUGUGCUUGCAGAAGUGACUUUGAUCACCUGCUGCUGAUCCUGAAGCUUAUGCAAAAAUACCUUUCUCGUAACUGGCAGAGAUGGUGGGGGAAAACUAUGCUUUCUAAGUGUGAGUGGUGUGUGUGGAGAAGCCAUCCAAACUGUACAAAGCAAAAAUGAUGUCAACAUUGACCAUUAUUUGUAGGAAAAAAUCUUCAGGCCAUUGUGGAUAGCUUGAUCCUGUGUGCCCACUGGAUCAAUGUCAGGAGAAAUAAAGUAUUUCUUUUACGAAGAACUAAAUUGGU
rnacentral:lncRNA from 1 species